AAUCAACGCUGGCGGCGUGCCUAACACAUGCAAGUCGAACGCGAAAGCCCCGCAAGGGUGGAGUAGAGUGGCAAACGGGUAGAGUAACGCGUGGGUGAUCUACCUCUGAGUGGGGGAGUAACCUUCCGAAAGGAGGGCGUAAUACCGCAUCACAUUGCGCUCUUAGAUGAGUGCGUAUCAAAGCUGGAACCCGCAAGGGUCGUGGCGCUUGGAGAGGAGCCCGCGUCCGAUAGUCUAGUUGGUGAGGUAAUGGCUCACCAAGGCGACGAUCGGUAGCCGGCCUGAGAGGGCGGACGGCCACACUGGGACUGAGACACGGCCCAGACUCCUACGGAGGCAGCAGUGGGGAAUUGUUCGCAAUGGGCGCAAGCCUGACGACGCAACGCCGCGUGGA
rnacentral:rRNA from 1 species